GCUCGGAUAACUCAGUGGUAGAGUACGGGAUUGCAGCGAGUAUGAAUCCACGAUUCAUGGCAAGUCAUCCUGAAGUCGCCGGUUCGAUCCCGGCUCCGAGCU
rfam:Beauveria bassiana ARSEF 2860 unplaced genomic scaffold BBA_S00005, whole genome shotgun sequence.